rnacentral:lncRNA from 10 species
CGCUCUGUCUCGUCUGGGAAGAUCUCCGUUGCCAGGGCUUGCUGGACCCGCCCCCGCACAGCUUCCCAGCAGUCCCGAUUCCGCCUGAGGCUCCAGAAGGCGAAGCUGUACAGGAGGCCACUUUUCUUCUCAGCCUAGAACUCGAGAGACCUGAAAGGAAGGACGACUGGCCACAGGAGAUGUUUCACAGAGCCGCUGAAUGAACAACACAGUCAAUUCUGAUCAACUUUCCAGUGCUAUCUGGGUGUAAGUGAGUGGCCCUGGAGGUGGGUGCCUCUCCCCGGCGCAGUUUUUCCUUCCAUCACAAGCAUGGCUGAAGCUGGGUGGUGGUGCAUACAGAUUCCAGCCAGCAAGGAGGGGAAAGAGAGUUCAGAGGACUCACCUCCACUGUCCCCGACCCAGGCCUGUAGCAUCUAUAUUGGCUCCUCUCAGGUUCCACAGGUAACCACUGCUUUCAGUUUGCUCUGAAGCCUUCUACACAUUUCUCUGGGCAUUUAAGUGUCAUAUAUGUACUCACAAGGGGUGAGGGAUAGUAUUUUUUUGAGGACUGCUUUUUUUUCCAUUUACAG